rnacentral:rRNA from 1 species
UUAAAAUCUGCCGGUCCUUGGCCGUCCSAGUUGUAAUUUAGAGAAGCGUCUUCCGCAUCGGGCCGUGCACAAGUCUCCUGGAAUGGAGCGKCGUARAGGGKGAGAAUCCCGUCUCUGGCACGGACUUUUUGAUGCUUCUGUGAUGCGCUCUCAAAGAGUCGAGUUGUUUGGGAAUGCAGCUCAAAAUGGGUGGUGAACUCCAUCUAAAGCUAAAUAUUGGCGAGAGACCGAUAGCGAACAAGKACCGUGAGGGAAAGAUGAAAAGCACUUUGGAAAGAGAGUGAAACAGUACGUGAAAUUGUUGAAAGGGAAACGCUUGAAGUCAGUCACGUCGACCGAGACUCAGCCUUGCCUCGGCUUGGCGUACUUCUCGGCUGAUGGGCCAGCAUCAAUUUCKUCCUUCGGAUAAUGGCAAGGGAAAGGUGGCACCCUUACGGGUGUGUUAUAGUCUCCUGUCGCAUGNGAGGGGUGGGAUUGAGGAUCUCAGCACGCACCUCUCGGUGUCGGGGCUUCSGCCCACGCUUACGUGCUUAGGAUGUUGGCGUAAUGGCUUUAAACGACCCGUCUUGAAACACGGACCAAGGAGUCUAACAUGCCCGCGAGUGUUCGGGUGGAAAACCCGUGCGCGAAAUGAAAGUGAAAGUUGGGACCUCCGUCGUGGAGGGMACCAAUGCCCGGACCAGACCUUUUGUGACGGAUCUGCGGUAGAGCGUGCAUGUUGGGACCCNNAAGAUGGKGAACUAUGCCUGAAUAGGGUGA